rnacentral:rRNA from 1 species
UACGGAGGGUGCAAGCGUUGUCCGGAAUCACUGGGCGUAAAGGGCGCGUAGGCGGCUCAUGAAGGCUGUGGUGAAAGUCCGGGGCUCAACCUCGGAUCGGCCGUGGCGACUCGUGGGCUGGAGCACUGUAGAGGCGGGUGGAAUUCCGGGUGUAGCGGUGGAAAUGCGCAGAUAUCAGGAGGAACACCGGUGGCGAAGGCGGGUCUCUGGGCCGAUGACUGACGCUGAGGAGCGAAAGCAUGGGUAGCGAACAGG